ACCAGGUGUGGUGGUGCACGCCUGUAAUCCCAGCAGCUCUGGAGGCUGAGGCAGGAGGAUCUUGAGUUCAAAGCCAACCUCAGCAAAAGCGAGGUGCUAAGCAACUCAGUGAGACCCUGUCUCUA
rnacentral:sRNA from 1 species